CUUCCCAUGGGUAUGAACAGUGCUGUGAGGGUGGGCAGCCACUCUUGAGGGGCUCUGACUGCCCUGGAAGAAAAGAAGAAGGAAAUUCAAGAGCUGUGAGUGCAGUCAGAAACUCCAGUGAGUUCCAAAAACACAGGAAGUUGAGAUUCAAGGUAAAACAGAAGAGGACAAAGAACAUCUGAAUCUUUCAAUCCACUGUAUCAUGGGUGUGGCCUCCAGAAAAGGAAAUUGGAAAGAACGUGGAACUCUCAACAACGAAAGCAAUGAAGCUGCCUUGCUUAAGGAGGAAAAGAUGGUGGUGACCAAGUUUCCAACCUUGCUGGGUGGGACAAGGGCAGAGAGGAGCACCCAGGACCCUUCACUCAUGUG
ensembl:lincRNA